CCCAAUCAUCUCUUCCACGAUUCAGGGGUAAAAUCUUGCGCAGAAGGAUUACAUCAGUAGAAUAUAUAAAUAAAAUAUGUACAUCGCAGCAAGGAACCGGGGAGCAGAGAUAGGAAAGGGCGAUAAAAGAGAGAGGCCAGGGGCGGAAAAGGGGGAAACCUCGGAUAUCUUGCUUUCUUGCUUCCCUAUCCCAAUCCAGCACUCGAAAAUCCUCUUCCAAAGCCCUUGCUCACACCACGCCAUUCAUUCCCUCUUCUUCCUCCUCCUCUCCAGUCUCCAUCCUUCCCGGAUCUCUCUCUCUUUUUCUUUUUCUCCAGUCUCCAUCCUUCCCUCUCUCAGUCUUCCUGAUGAUUAUAUGGGGGCAAUAAUGGGGGCUCGCUGCCGGCCUGCUUCAAAUUCUCUGUCCGACGAUGGGGGCGAUGGCGAUCGGGAGGGCGUCCCAGUGUUUGGGGAGUUCCGGCUGGAGGAGCUGAGGGCCGUCACUGCCGGCUUCGGCCCCCACCACAUCGUCUCCAAGCACGGCGAGGAGCUCUCCAACGUGGUCUGCCGCGGCCAACUCCCACACACCGAUCGCGUCGUCGCCGUCAAGCGCCUCAACAAGUCCGCCUGGCCCGACCCUCGCCAGCUGCUCAAGGAGGCGAGAUUCGGGGGUAGCUCGAGAGCGAGCGACUGACCAACCUCAUCGGCUGCUGCUGCAAGGGCGAAGAGGGGUUGCUGGUCUCCGAGUUCAUGCCCCACGAAACCCUAGCCAGGAACCUCUUCCACUGUUCCCACUCCACCCCUCCCUCUUCUUCUUUGAUUAUUUUCUCAGCCAAAUAAUCUCGAAAGCUGUUAUUAUCCAUAUGUCGAAAAUGUUCUUGUUCGAUUUUCUUGAUUCGUAUAAUAUGAUCUCUCUUGCAAGUUGCACCAGGAUGGGGUUUUGGCUUUGGUCAUCUUAUCAUCAUUUUGAACUCGUUCUGGUAUUAUUCAUUUAGUUCUCGAUUUAUAAAUAGGAUGGUGGUAGAGACGGUAUUUCUAGAUUUUGCAGAAUAAUUUUACAUAGUCAGGUCACUCUUUCAGGCACCACUUUCUUGAUUUAUAUUAACAAGUAACUGGUUGCUAUGACUGAUGAAUUCCUGGCACGACACUUCAUAGAUUUUGUUCCAUGUUGCUAUGCUAUAUAUAAUCAUUUUUCUUGAAUCAAUUUGGAAGAUGAUGGUGGUUAUUAUCUAUGGUUCAUUGGUACUUACAGAUUUAUGCAGAGUAAUUUCAGAUAUUUCAAUAUAUAUUUUGGGCAUGAUUUCAUAGAUCUAUGAUCUAUUGACAAAAUUUUAGUUAUUAAAGGAGAGAGACUUCUUUACCACUUCCAAAACCAGAUCGUUUGAUUCCAUCUGAUCUACUGCUCUGUAUAUGUUCCUAUAUUUGAUCGACAUGGUAAUAUGUGCUGGAUCGCAGGACCAGUGUUUUUUUUUAAUAUCACAAUUGAAUGGGGGUGCAAAUGAUAAUGGUGUAUUGCAGAGGACACACAGCCCUUGAGUUGGGCAAUGAGAAUAAGAGUAGCACUGUAUUUUGCACAGGUAUUGGAGUAUUGCAGCAGCAGAGGGUGGGCGCUAUAUCAUGAUUUCAAUGCAUACAGUGUCCUCUUUGAUCAGGUGAGAUCAUCACUGAGGCAUCUGCGUCUUAUUCUUCGCUUCUCAUAGAGGUGCUGCAUUUGUUGCUACUUGCUGUUUUGCCAUCGGGCAUUUGAUAGGACAGUAAUCCCUGGCUGUCCUGUUUUGGCCUCAUGAAGAACAGUAGAGAUGGAAGGAGCUGUGGUACUAACUUGGCCUUCAUGCCUCUGGUGUACUGCAGGAUGGAUUAGCAUUGUAUUGAAAUGGCUUUUGGUUUGGCAUAGAAAAAGUUUUUAUGUUCUGUGACAUCCAUUGACUUGGCUAAAUGCAAUCCUUUUCAUGAGUUUUCUAUGUCGAGGCACUAUAUUAUCUUAAACUCGUUAAAAUACAAUACUUCUUGCAUGUGUUUGAUUGCCUAAUUCAAUGACAGCACGUGGUGCAUCAUGUUGUAUGUUGAGAAAAGAUGUUGGCAUUAUAGAAAAUGGCCUCAGGAAGAAUGUCCUUUUAAACAUCAUGACUAAACUAUUUUAUUCUUUUCAGCACUCUGUUUGACAUGUUUUCUUUCCUCUUGAAUCAGUAAUAAGUUCCUUAGCAUGGGAGGAGUAACAGAACUGCUAAAAUCUCCAUGCAACUAGUUUACUUUCCUUCUUGACUAUUGAAUUCCAUGGACUGUCUACUGUGCAUGAAAAAGAGUUUCUAUAUCAUUCAAGGUUGGAAAACAUCAUUCAUUCCUUGUUGGCUUGAUUUGGCAGGAAGAGUGACCCCAGAGAGUGUGGUAUACAGCUUUGGAACUCUUUUGCUGGACCUUCUUAGUGGAAAGCAUAUUCCCCUAAGUCAUAUGGCAACUUUGUCCCCAAAAACAUGGAGUAUAUCACCUUCCUGGGGCUUAGAAAGAACAGUAUCUCAAACCAUGCUCACAAAUGAUUCAAGGCGCAUUAACUAAUGACUGAUGAUGUACAGAAGCAGUCUUGCCUGGAUCAAAGCAGGUACCAUCAUAUACUUAUGGAUAUUUCACAUUGUUCUGCAACCUCAAUGCAAGCACUCUCGGUCUUCUCCUGGGGAAGCUUGUGCCGUUUGGACCUUAACUGUUAUGCAUGAAAUAUUAGAGAAGUUUGGAUACGAGGAUGGUGAGGGAGUUGCCAAUGAGGUUGGAAAACUGCUUUUUAUCACUUUCUCCAGAUAAUUUUGACUAGCAGUUGCUUCUUUAUUUCUAUUUCUAGACUCUUUUAUCUCUGCCAUAUGGUUGCCCUCCAGAUUUUUCCUCAUACACUCUUUCAGUGUAACUUUAGAUAGGUCGGAAACAGUAAUUUAGUGCA